UACGUAGGGGGCAAGCGUUGUCCGGAAUUAUUGGGCGUAAAGAGCUCGUAGGCGGUUCGAUAAGUCGGGUGUGAAACCCCCAGGCUCAACCUGGGGACGCCACCCGAUACUGUCGUGACUAGAGUCCAGUAGGGGAGUGUGGAAUUCCCGGUGUAGCGGUGAAAUGCGCAGAUAUCGGGAGGAACACCAGCGGCGAAGGCGGCACUCUGGGCUGGAACUGACGCCGAGGAGCGAAAGCGUGGGUAGCAAACAGG
rnacentral:rRNA from 1 species